rnacentral:rRNA from 1 species
UACGUAGGGUGCGAGCGUUGUCCGGAAUCACUGGGCGUAAAGGGCGCGUAGGCGGCAGGCCAAGCGUGCGGUGAAAGUCCGGGGCUCAACCCCGGAUCUGCCGUGCGGACUGGUUUGCUAGAGCACUGUAGAGGCGAGUGGAAUUCCGGGUGUAGCGGUGGAAUGCGUAGAUAUUGGGAGGAACACCAGUGGCGAAGGCGGCUCACUGGACCGGAACUGACGCUGAGGCGCGAAAGCGUGGGGAGCAAACGGG